rnacentral:lncRNA from 10 species
AUAUUAACUGUCACACUCUGGUAACUGUCUGACCUUCCUCCACAUUCUUUUUACUGGUCACAUCUGGUCACUGGUGGAAAAAAUACAAAAGCAAAGCUAGUUCUCAUCUUAGGUGCUUUGGGUUGAGAUUAUUUCUGCUCUGUUUUUUAAAAAUUUUAUUCAUUCUUCAACUGCUGGUUCCAAAGCCUUAACUUUUUUCUCCCAAUAUAUAUUUGAUCAAGUAGUAAAUUCUAUGGGCUCUACCUUCACAAUAUAUCCAGAAUCUACCUACAUUCAUUGUUAUUAAUUUGUACCCCUGGUGUUCGGCCAGUAUCACCUUCUCCCAAUCUAUUUCAGCCAGUGACAAUGAGGACAUGCCUCAAAACUUUAAUAUCUAAGAAUACCUCAGGAUUGAGGUUUUCCAAGUUACAAAUUACCCAGUUGAGACUAAGGAUUCUUACUGUUUCAAUUUGAUUUUAUCUUCUUGGUUGACAGGUUGGAGCACUUACUCAGAAGCUCUGGCGUAUAGGAAGCUCCCAGCACAGGGAACUUUAGAAAACUCAUAAAUGCAGGUCUCCAGAUGCCAGAAGAUUAAACAAAUGCCAGCUUCACAAGGCCAUGCUUUUCCAGCAGAAGAGAGAUGCAAUGUAAACAAAAAACUUGUAGGUAAAAAUAAAAUUUUGGAACAGAAAGAGGACACAAAAUAAGGAUUUAAGGCUGACAGAAUGGGAGGAGAAAAAAACAAGAAUUCAAUAUACCAACCAAGCAAAAAGGCUGCAGA